UCCAUGGAUGCAUUACACAUUUUUUUGCAUGUUGUUGAUUCUUUCCCUGCUAUGUAAAUAAUAGCUUUCAUAACAUGCCGGCAUUAUAGAUUUUUAGAGGAGACAUUUUUGUCAUUUUUAUUUUUAGAGGUGGUAUUUUCCUUUUAUUUUUCUUUGGACUAAACUUUUCAGGACUGUAAAAACAGCCCUGAAAAUGUACAACUCGGAAAAUGUAUUUGUUUUAAGAAUGUUCUUUACUUUAUACAUCCACUGGAUGGCAGUGGAGCUAUGCACAGCAGAUGAGGGCAUACAGACACCACAGCAGUGUGGAAAUAAUGUGACAGAGGAGAUAGCAGGACCCAUGUAGAAGAGAUGUAAAGGAGCAGCUCCACAAGUGAGACUAUCAUCACCAUCAGACCAGGGCAGCUGCUCGAGGAGAAGCAGGAGGUGGCUCUAGACCCAGACGGAUACUCAGACUGUCCUCCUACACAACGCCAGGGUGCACAGCAGCUGUCGCUAAGCCUCUCUUCCAACUCCGGAAAGUCAUGCAAUUUGGAUGGACGUGGAUACCGAGUACCUAAUCGCAGGGAACUUUCUUCAUUCUGUGGAUGUGGAGAACAUUAUGCGUAUGAGAACAUUAUGUGACUCUAUAGGGAAUUGACCUAAUAUUCAUUUGAUCACCACAUUCCUUCUCUCUAUAUGACUUCAUGUCUUUCAUCUGAAUUCAAAUGAUUCAAGUGAUGUUUUGUUGCGGUAUCUUUGUCCUCACACAGUUUUAACAUUAUUUUAAGACAAAUGUGUUUUUAACAACAAUGAUAUCUUGUCUGUAUGUUGUCACCAUGUCUACAUAGGACACUUUCUACUGUAUGGUCAAAAAUAUGCUCUCAAAAUCCCAUUGCAUGGCCUUAAGUCCUCUCUAAGUCCCUCUUAUUAUGACCGCCGUGCAGCGAAGCGGUUUAGUCAGAUUUUUUUCUUUUUCGCAU